ACAAGAAGAAAGCCAGGUUGGACU
rnacentral:siRNA from 1 species